rnacentral:rRNA from 1 species
UAAUACGGAGGGUACAAACGUUGUUCGGAAUCACUGGGCAUAAAGCGCGCGUAGGCGGUCUACCCAGUUAGGUGUGAAAGCCCUCGGCCCAACCGAGGAAUUGCAUCUAGUACUAGUAGGCUUGAGGAUGGUAGGGGUGUGUGGAACUUCAGGUGGAGCGGUGAAAUGCGUAGAUAUCUGAAGGAACACCUGUGGCGAAAGCGGCACACUGGAUCAUUUCUGACGCUGAGGCGCGAAAGCUAGGGUAGCGAACGGGAUUAGAUACCCCGGUAGUCCUAGCCGUAAACGAUGGGCACUAGGUAAGGGGAGAACCUGUUUCUCUCUUUGCCGUAGCUAAUGUGUUAAGUGCCCCGCCUGGGGAGUACGCUCGCAAGGGUA